rnacentral:rRNA from 1 species
GACGAACGCUGGCGGCGUGCCUAAUACAUGCAAGUCGAACGAACCGCGACUAGGUGCUUGCACUUGGUCAAGGUGAGUGGCGAACGGGUGAGUAACACGUGGGUAACCUACCUCAUAGUGGGGGAUAACAGUCGGAAACGACUGCUAAUACCGCAUAGGACAUAGGAUUACAUGAUUCUGUGAGGAAAGGUGGCGCAAGCUAUCGCUAAGAGAUGGACCCGCGGUGCAUUAGCUAGUUGGUAGGGUAAAGGCCUACCAAGGCGAUGAUGCAUAGCCGACCUGAGAGGGUGAUCGGCCACAUUGGAACUGAGACACGGCCCAAACUCCUACGGGAGGCAGCAGUAGGGAAUCUUCCGCAAUGGACGCAAGUCUGACGGAGCAACGCCGCGUGAGUGAAGAAGGUCUUCGGAUCGUAAAGCUCUGUUGUUAGAGAAGAACAGCGCAUAGAGUAACUGUUAUGCGUGUGACGGUAUCUAACCAGAAAGCCACGGCUAACUACGUG